UACGUAGGGUGCAAGCGUUAAUCGGAAUUACUGGGCGUAAAGCGUGCGCAGGCGGUGAUGCAAGACAGAGGUGAAAUCCCCGGGCUCAACCUGGGGACUGCCUUUGUGACUGCAUGACUAGAGUACGGUAGAGGGGGAUGGAAUUCCGCGUGUAGCAGUGAAAUGCGUAGAUAUGCGGAGGAACACCGAUGGCGAAGGCAAUCCCCUGGACCUGUACUGACGCUCAUGCACGAAAGCGUGGGGAGCAAACAGG
rnacentral:rRNA from 1 species